GGUGAUAGGGUUUCAGUGUUUAAGCACUCACUCACUGGUCCUGUCUAAUCUCAGAAGCUAGGCAGAGGUGGCCUAGUUAGUACUUGGAGGGGAGAUCACUUGAGAAUACAAGCUCCAAUAGCUA
rnacentral:rRNA from 1 species